UGUCUGUGUGUACGUGUUGUGUAAUGUC
rnacentral:piRNA from 1 species